rnacentral:rRNA from 1 species
AAACUCCGCAAUACGCGAAAGCGUGACGGGGGAACUCCAAGUGCGCUCGCGCAAGCGAGUGCUUUUGCAGAGUGCAAACAGCUCUGCGAAUAAAAGCGGGGUAAGACCGGUGC